GAUGAACGCUGGCGGCGUGCCUAAUACAUGCAAGUCGAGCGAACAGACGAGGAGCUUGCUCCUCUGACGUUAGCGGCGGACGGGUGAGUAACACGUGGAUAACCUACCUAUAAGACUGGGAUAACUUCGGGAAACCGGAGCUAAUACCGGAUAAUAUAUUGAACCGCAUGGUUCAAUAGUGAAAGACGGUUUUGCUGUCACUUAUAGAUGGAUCCGCGCCGCAUUAGCUAGUUGGUAAGGUAACGGCUUACCAAGGCAACGAUGCGUAGCCGACCUGAGAGGGUGAUCUGCCACACUUGAACUGAGACACGGUCCAGACUCCUACGGGAGGCAGCAGUAGGGAAUCUUCCGCAAUGGGCGAAAGCCUGACGGAGCAACGCCGCGUGAGUGAUGAAGGUCUUCGGAUCGUAAAACUCUGUUAUUAGGGAAGAACAAAUGUGUAAGUAACUAUGCACGUCUUGACGGUACCUAAUCAGAAAGCCACGGCUAACUACGUG
rnacentral:rRNA from 1 species